AAUAGCAUAUUCAUUUUGACGUUUAGCUGCAGAAGAAGCACCGGCUAACUCCGUGCCAGCAGCCGCGGUAAUACGGGAGGGGUGCGAGCGUUAAUCGGAAUUACUGGGCGUAAAAGCGCAUGCAGGUGGUUUGUUAAGUCAGAUGUGAAAAGCCCGGGGCUCAACCUCGGAAUUGCAUUUGAAACUGGCAAACUAGAGUACUGUAGAGGGGGGUAGAAUUUCAGGUGUAGCGGUGAAAUGCGUAGAGAUCUGAAGGAAUACCGGUGGCGAAGGCGGCCCCCUGGACAGAUACUGACACUCAGAUGCGAAAGCGUGGGGAGCAAACAGGAUUAGAUACCCUGGUAG
rnacentral:rRNA from 1 species